AAGAUUCAAAGGGAGACCAGACAGAGGCAGCAGAGCGUCGAGCCCCAUGAUGCGAUGGGCGGUCGAUACCGGCCGGGAUAGGCAAUCACGUGACGCGCUAGGCCCCUCGUCCCCAGGACUGAGAUCGGCUCUCUCUUGGGGAGAGAGUUUAUAGCCUAAUGUGUGGAUCAUCACCUCAUACCCCUGGCAAUGCUAUUUCUUCCACGUGGCUGAGAGGGCUAAAGGUUCUCAGGAAAGGAGUUAAAGGGGUAAAAAAGAGUUCCAAGAGGAUACAUGUGCUGUCUUAUUUUGACUACACUGGGCCCCAAUUCAGCAAAGCAUUUAAGCACAUGGAAUCAAUGGGGCUCCUCCAUAUUAUUGGCAGCUCCCUGACGAUCCCCUCACAGCCUUAGCCAAGUACUGAAGUCAUGGCUGCCAUCUUUCAGAUAGAGAAAGAAAUGGAUAAAAUUCCCUUUGGAGGGAUCUCUUCAAAAUGUUAGGGCACUCACCAUCAUGGUCCUUCAAGAGCUCCCCAUAGUACCUCUGCAGCAUUCCCCAUCACCGAAGCACAAUCAAAUCGGGUUCUCCCUCAGAGCAGCGCCUCUGGGCCAGCGACCACAGAUGUGAUGUUUAUUCAUAAACAUCAGAGAUGGAUCCAGGCUACAACUCCAGAUCCGAAGCCCCUGUAGUGGGUGAAGAAGACAAUUGGAAUCCAAACCCCUAUCUGGAUCCACAUUUUGCAAUUGGUACCUCUUUUUAGAAAAGGUGGAGCCAAAACACGAUAAAAAAAUCCUCAAAAACUUUUUAAGGGUCCAAGUGUGGUGGCUUUGUCCCAUAUUUAAAAUAUAGCUUUACAACCUUU